UACGUAGGGGGCAAGCGUUGUCCGGAUUUAUUGGGCGUAAAGAGCGUGUAGGCGGUCUGGUAGGUCCGUUGUGAAAACUCGAGGCUCAACCUCGAGACGUCGGUUGAAACACCCUGGCUAGAGUCCGGAAGAGGAGAGUGGAAUUCCUGGUGUAGCGGUGAAAUGCGCAGAUAUCAGGAAGAACACCCGUGGCGAAGGCGGCUCUCUGGGACGGUACUGACGCUGAGACGCGAAAGCGUGGGGAGCGAACAGG
rnacentral:rRNA from 1 species